rnacentral:lncRNA from 1 species
UGCCUAAAAUUAGUUGAUUAUCAAGAGGGACGGAAGUAAAUAUACGAGAUAAGGAUACACUGUCUUAUUUCAUUUCAUUGUCAAUAUUUUAGAGUACAAAAUCAUGAUUUCAAAGUCCAUAAAAUUUCAAAAAGAAAAAAGAAAAAUACAAUUAUUCGGUGCAUGCACAAAAACCAAAUGACAGCUCCUCGAAUAUUCCAGUAUAAAGUAUAAUCUGCAAUUAUUUUGCUAGAGCAGAAACUCAUUCAUCUAACUAGCCUCUGCUGGCAGUGGCCUUUACGACACCUACCAAUAUAGUUUCUCCCAUUUGGACAAUCUUUAUCUGUUAUACAAGUUUCAGUAUUUGCUACAAAAGCAGAAUCACAUACUAUUAAGACAAGAAACAAUGAAAUAAAUAGAAUCAAAACAUAAACAAACUUCAGAGUUUCAGCCAUAUUUUUCGUUCUUUGCAUUUAAAAGAUAGGAUAAGAUUUGAUAUAAAUAUAGUGUAUAAAAUUUAUGCUCUAAUAAAAAUAAUUAAAUGUUUGAAUAUUUUUAAAAUUUUAAAACCCUUCAUAAAAUUAUAAUAAUAAAUGUCUCUUCAGUAUAUAAGUGGGUUGUGUUUGUUCUUUCCACACCUAGAAAGAAGUUCAACUAUUAAACUUGAUAAUCAUAAGCAUUGAAUAUUAUUUGACUAAUUUUUCGGAUAUUACUUUAUCCUUUCGUUAUAAUAAAGGGAAAAAAUAUUUUUGAAUAUCAUAAUAUUAACUACAAAUAUAAUGCACCAUUGAGAUUGAGACCAUAUUUAUGCACAAGUAGAAUGCACUUAGGAUCAAUUUUAUUUUUUUUAUUUAAUCAUUGGAUCUUAAAUAAUAAAGUUCAUAACUUUUUUAUCCUUUCGUGAUAAUAAAGGGAAAAAAAUAGUUUUUUGAAUAUCAUAAAAUUAUCUACGGAUAUAAUGAACCACUAGGAUAGAGACCGUAACGUCUGUUUUGAUUAAUUAAUUAUUUUGUUGAGUUUAGAAUAUAUUUAUAUGAUUUAUGUGAUUUAAGUGAUUUAUGUGAUUUAAUGAGGUGUUGUGACUUAUUUUAUUGUUUAAUAAAAUAAGAUUUGAAAAUAAAAAAAAAAAUAUUGAGAUGAGGGGUUGUUUUGAGAUUUUAGAGAGUUUUGGGGAAGAAAGAGGAAAUAAGAUAGAAUAGAUAUAAAUAGGUGAGAGCUAGGUUUAGAAAAGUUUAACGUACGAUCAAUUUUGGAGAAAAUGGAGAAAAGUCAAGAGAAGAGAGAAGAACCAACAAGAGGCUGCGAUUUCAAAUUCUUAAGGUAAGGACGAGACUAACAUUCAAUCUUAUUAAGUCUGUAAUUCUGAUAGUUGUAUUUAACAAGUGUAGGAUUAGUUUUAGACAAUUGGAGAAUCAGGUUAAAGUGAGGAAUUGAUGAUUAAUUGAUGAAAAAGUGUUAGAUUGAUGUAGAAACUGUUUACAGACCUUAGAUAAUCCAUAGUUUGAUAUUUGGAAUCAAUGUUAAGCUUAAAACCAUGCCUUUAGGUGGAUUUUCGUGAAAACUGCAAUUAUGCCAGAGCAAACAUUCAUCGCUCGCCUCCCGAGUGAUGAUCCUCGCCCUCGCGAGUGGUGAUCUUCAUUGUUCGCCUCGCGAGUUGCACCUUGCAGCUCGCCAUAGCGAGUGUGACCAGUGAGUCGACCAUGAUUUUGUAAAUUGAUCCUUUAGUCGAGCUCUAGAUGUUUUUUAGUGCCUGAAUAUGUAUAAUAAUGAUUAGGCAAGUUUUUAGAUUGAGAUUGAAC